AGUGUACAGAAGUUGAUUAUAAAUUGUAUGAUUUUAACUGUAUUUGUGUUUAGAUUGGCUGCACUAAUGCUGGAGCGGCCUAACUGAGAGGAGUGCGUUGCCAUGGAGACGAUGUAGGCUAGAGAGAGAAGUGGGAGGAGCUUAGAGGGGAGAGUUUGAAAAACGACAGUUUAUGUUCAGUUAGGGUUUAGCAGUGAGGAGUUAGAGUGAGGAGUUGAGAGAGAAGGAGAGGAAAAGGUGGCUGAGUGACUUGUGAAGCAAAGUUUCGAGGCUUUGGAAAGCCGGGUCUGGCUAUUGAAAGUUUCUCUGGCUAGGGUAGCCGAAAGGGGGAAACAUAGCCGGAAUUCUUUAGUCCAAGGAGAGGCUAAAGAAUAGCUUAUUUAGAAUUUGAUCUAGGAAGGAUCAAAUAAGGGAAAUAUCCCUGUAUUGAUACUUUGUCUGAAGCAAGCGCUCUACGUCAGGAAGAUACUGUGUUACUUUAAAGAAUGAACUGUUAAACUUACAAGCAUUGUUCUAAGUUCUAUAAGAAAAGUUACAACUUGCAACCACACGCUUUGUGCUCAAUAAACUUGUUAACUUUUGUUUGAA